UGGUUCUCAAUCAGAGACAACGAUUGACAGCUGCCUCUGAUUGGGAACCAUACCAGGCCAAACACCUAUAAAUAUAACACACAGAACCAAAAUAUAGAAUGCCCACCCCAACUCACGCCCUGACCAAACUAAAAUAGAGACAUAAAAAGGUCAGGACGUGAAAGGGUAUGAGUUGUGUUGUAGAGUGUGGUUAGGGGGUGUUGCAAUGGUUCUGCUUUGCCCUGAGGGUGCAUUUCAAAACAUCCUACCUCAAUGGUAGAAGUUUCAAAGUUGACUAAUUAUGGCACAAGCUGUGAGGCUACACGGUAACGGAAAAGCAAAACUCUUGACAGAUUCACUCCUUCACAAAAGAGACAGUCCUUUUAGAUUUAAAGGACUCACAAAAGAUGGAGACUUCACAGAGGUCUCCCGUUCUGUCAUCCUGUCUGAUCUCAAUAAUAGUUGUGCUGAAUAUCAUCUUGUGGAUGUUUCUAAUGUCAGCAGUGGGAUUAGGGGCUAUGCACCUACAUGACUGCCCCUUACAGCCUUAUAUCCCCAUCUACCUGCUGGUGAUCGGGCUGACGUCCAUCGCCUCCCUGCUCCUAGCCUACCUCAAUAACACACUGGAGACUGGCUUCCUGAGCCUACUGUGUUCCUCCUGCAUCUUCCUCCUCCAACUCUUCAACCUCGGCUGGUUCAUCACAGCACAUCAAGUACAUGAAGACGGGAGUGAGUGGGUGUACUCCAUAUAUCCCCCGAACUAUGACACGAAUGGUGGAGAGAAGUACUGUCAGAGGAAGAUAUACCUGUUUGCUUUCUGGUUCAACAGCCUGGGCAGCAUCUGUAUGGCUGUGGUGUUCUUCUGUGGAGUGUUCUUCAUCUUCCUUACCUGUGUGAAAAUGGCAUUUAGGGGACACCAUCUACUCCAUUCACAUAAGAGAUCGUAUGGUGUGGACGCUUGA
rnacentral:lncRNA from 1 species